rnacentral:rRNA from 1 species
AUUGAACGCUGGCGGAAUGCUUUACACAUGCAAGUCGAACGGCAGCACGGACUUCGGUCUGGUGGCGAGUGGCGAACGGGUGAGUAAUGUAUCGGAACGUGCCCAGUCGUGGGGGAUAACGUAGUGAAAAUUACGCUAAUACCGCAUACGAUCUAUGGAUGAAAGCGGGGGACCGCAAGCCCCCGCGCGAUUGGAGCGGCCGAUAUCAGAUUAGGUAGUUGGUGGGGUAAAGGCCCACCAAGCCAACGAUCUGUAGCUGGUCUGAGAGGACGACCAGCCACACUGGAACUGAGACACGGUCCAGACUCCUACGGGAGGCAGCAGUGGGGAAUUUUGGACAAUGGGCGAAAGCCUGAUCCAGCCAUUCCGCGUGCAGGAUGAAGGCCCUCGGGUUGUAAACUGCUUUUGUACAGAACGAAAAGGUUUCUACUAAUACUAGGAGCUCAUGACGGUACUGUAAGAAUAAGCACCGGCUAACUACGUGCCAGCCGCCGCCGUAA